rnacentral:rRNA from 1 species
AUUGAACGCUGGCGGCAUGCCUUACACAUGCAAGUCGAACGGUAACAGGUCUCCGGAUGCUGACGAGUGGCGAACGGGUGAGUAAUACAUCGGAACGUGCCUAGUAGUGGGGGAUAACUACUCGAAAGAGUGGCUAAUACCGCAUGAGAUCUACGGAUGAAAGCAGGGGAUCGCAAGACCUUGUGCUACUAGAGCGGCCGAUGGCAGAUUAGGUAGUUGGUGGGAUAAAAGCUUACCAAGCCGACGAUCUGUAGCUGGUCUGAGAGGACGAUCAGCCACACUGGGACUGAGACACGGCCCAGACUCCUACGGGAGGCAGCAGUGGGGAAUUUUGGACAAUGGGCGCAAGCCUGAUCCAGCAAUGCCGCGUGCAGGAUGAAGGCCUUCGGGCUGUAAACUGCUUUUGUACGGAACGAAAAGCCCUGGGUUAAUACCCUGGGGUCAUGACGGUACCGUAAGAAUAAGCACCGGCUAACUACGUGCCAGCCGCCGCCGUAAUAC